rnacentral:sRNA from 1 species
GUUGAUUGGGAAACUCAUCAAUUAUAUAUGAAAUGCCGAGACAAUCUCUACGUCUGAUGGCGGGCCCCGAUCUCCUUUAGGAGAUGUGUUCAGCACCAGGCGGAUUACAAAGGACGGAGAGACCUCAAAUCCUGUCAUUCGGAGUUUCAUCGCAUCCUUUGAUGUGG